CUGACACAGGGAGGUAGUGACAAGAAAUAACAAUACAGGGCUAAUGUCUUGUAAUUGGAAUGAUGGUGACCCAAACCCUCACCAGAGUAGCAAUUGGAGGGCAAGUCUGGUGCCAGCAGCCGCGGUAAUUCCAGCUCCAAUAGCGUAUAUUAAACUUGUUGCAGUUAAAAAGCUCGUAGUUGAAUUUUAGCGUGUUCGAGUUUGCCAUUCGUUUGGCUUUUUCGAGUUCGCUUUUGGGUUUUCCCUUUUUACUUUGAGAAAAUUAGAGUGUUUCAAGCAGACUUUUGUCUUGAAUACUUCAGCAUGGAAUAAUAGAGUAGGACUUUGGUUCUAUUUUGUUGGUUAUUGAACCUUAGUAAUGGUUAAUAGGAACGGUUGGGGGCA
rnacentral:rRNA from 1 species